rnacentral:rRNA from 1 species
GGGUUGUGAGGUUAAGCGACUAAGCGUACACGGUGGAUGCCCUGGCAGUCAGAGGCGAUGAAGGACGUGCUAAUCUGCGAUAAGCGUCGGUAAGGUGAUAUGAACCGUUAUAACCGGCGAUUUCCGAAUGGGGAAACCCAGUGUGUUUCGACACACUAUCAUUAACUGAAUCCAUAGGUUAAUGAGGCGAACCGGGGGAACUGAAACAUCUAAGUACCCCGAGGAAAAGAAAUCAACCGAGAUUCCCCCAGUAGCGGCGAGCGAACGGGGAGCAGCCCAGAGCCUGAAUCAGUGUGUGUGUUAGUGGAAGCGUCUGGAAAGGCGCGCGAUACAGGGUGACAGCCCCGUACACAAAAAUGCACAUAUUGUGAGCUCGAUGAGUAGGGCGGGACACGUGGUAUCCUGUCUGAAUAUGGGGGGACCAUCCUCCAAGGCUAAAUACUCCUGACUGACCGAUAGUGAACCAGUACCGUGAGGGAAAGGCGAAAAGAACCCCGGCGAGGGGAGUGAAAAAGAACCUGAAACCGUGUACGUACAAGCAGUGGGAGCCUCUUUAUGGGGUGACUGCGUACCUUUUGUAUAAUGGGUCAGCGACUUAUAUUCUGUAGCAAGGUUAACCGAAUAGGGGAGCCGAAGGGAAACCGAGUCUUAACUGGGCGUUAAGUUGCAGGGUAUAGACCCGAAACCCGGUGAUCUAGCCAUGGGCAGGUUGAAGGUUGGGUAACACUAACUGGAGGACCGAACCGACUAAUGUUGAAAAAUUAGCGGAUGACUUGUGGCUGGGGGUGAAAGGCCAAUCAAACCGGGAGAUAGCUGGUUCUCCCCGAAAGCUAUUUAGGUAGCGCCUCGUGAACUCAUCUCGGGGGGUAGAGCACUGUUUCGGCAAGGGGGUCAUCCCGACUUACCAACCCGAUGCAAACUGCGAAUACCGGAGAAUGUUAUCACGGGAGACACACGGCGGGUGCUAACGUCCGUCGUGAAGAGGGAAACAACCCAGACCGCCAGCUAAGGUCCCAAAGUCAUGGUUAAGUGGGAAACGAUGUGGGAAGGCCCAGACAGCCAGGAUGUUGGCUUAGAAGCAGCCAUCAUUUAAAGAAAGCGUAAUAGCUCACUGGUCGAGUCGGCCUGCGCGGAAGAUGUAACGGGGCUAAACCAUGCACCGAAGCUGCGGCAGCGACACUAUGUGUUGUUGGGUAGGGGAGCGUUCUGUAAGCCUGUGAAGGUGUACUGUGAGGUAUGCUGGAGGUAUCAGAAGUGCGAAUGCUGACAUAAGUAACGAUAAAGCGGGUGAAAAGCCCGCUCGCCGGAAGACCAAGGGUUCCUGUCCAACGUUAAUCGGGGCAGGGUGAGUCGACCCCUAAGGCGAGGCCGAAAGGCGUAGUCGAUGGGAAACAGGUUAAUAUUCCUGUACUUGGUGUUACUGCGAAGGGGGGACGGAGAAGGCUAUGUUGGCCGGGCGACGGUUGUCCCGGUUUAAGCGUGUAGGCUGGUUUUCCAGGCAAAUCCGGAAAAUCAAGGCUGAGGUGUGAUGACGAGGCACUACGGUGCUGAAGCAACAAAUGCCCUGCUUCCAGGAAAAGCCUCUAAGCAUCAGGUAACAUCAAAUCGUACCCCAAACCGACACAGGUGGUCAGGUAGAGAAUACCAAGGCGCUUGAGAGAACUCGGGUGAAGGAACUAGGCAAAAUGGUGCCGUAACUUCGGGAGAAGGCACGCUGAUAUGUAGGUGAAGUCCCUCGCGGAUGGAGCUGAAAUCAGUCGAAGAUACCAGCUGGCUGCAACUGUUUAUUAAAAACACAGCACUGUGCAAACACGAAAGUGGACGUAUACGGUGUGACGCCUGCCCGGUGCCGGAAGGUUAAUUGAUGGGGUUAGCGCAAGCGAAGCUCUUGAUCGAAGCCCCGGUAAACGGCGGCCGUAACUAUAACGGUCCUAAGGUAGCGAAAUUCCUUGUCGGGUAAGUUCCGACCUGCACGAAUGGCGUAAUGAUGGCCAGGCUGUCUCCACCCGAGACUCAGUGAAAUUGAACUCGCUGUGAAGAUGCAGUGUACCCGCGGCAAGACGGAAAGACCCCGUGAACCUUUACUAUAGCUUGACACUGAACAUUGAGCCUUGAUGUGUAGGAUAGGUGGGAGGCUUAGAAGUGUGGACGCCAGUCUGCAUGGAGCCGACCUUGAAAUACCACCCUUUAAUGUUUGAUGUUCUAACGUUGACCCGUAAUCCGGGUUGCGGACAGUGUCUGGUGGGUAGUUUGACUGGGGCGGUCUCCUCCUAAAGAG